UGACUUGAGCCCAAACCAAGAGUCAGACGCUGAACUGACUGAACCACCCAAACACUCCAAACCUACCCUUUUUGGAUGAAGAGUUGGGUGGCCCUGCGGUGUGGGUACUUCCCCAAGUCUUUCAUCGUUGUCUGCCUACGAAAGUGUCAUCGCUGCAGACACAGUGACAGCGCUUGUGAAGACGAGAUGGCGUAA
rnacentral:lncRNA from 1 species